UCCUUGUUUUUACCGCCUAUAUACCGCCGUCGUAAGCUUACCCCGUGAGGGCCUAGUAGUGAGCUUAAUUAGCACAGCCCAGAACGUCAGGUCGAGGUGUAGCUUAUGGAGGGGUAAGAAAUGGGCUACAUUCCCUCCACCAGGGAACACGGAUAACGCACUGAAAUAUACGUUUGAAGGUGGAUUUAGUAGUAAGCAGUAACCAGAGCGUAUUGCUGAAACUGGCGCUGAAGCGCGCACACACCGCCCGUCACUCUCCCCAAGCAUAACCCAAAAUGCUUUUAAAUAAAACACCACCCUUGCAAAGGGGAGGCAAGUCGUAACAUGGUAAGUGUACCGGAAGGUGUACUUGGAGUAAC
rnacentral:rRNA from 1 species